UCUGAAUCUCUGUAGGAUAGAGGUAGUGUGCUGCUGUUUUUGCCUAAUGGCAACAUUCUCUUGAGGCUUAGGAAUACAACUCACAAGGUUCAGCAAGUUCCUGAAACUUACAAGACUCAGAAGGCCUUGCCCCAUGAUUAUAUAUACAGUAUUUGCUGGGCAAGAGGACACUCUCCAAUCAGCCAAGCUGUUUGCAUGUUGUGCAGGCAGCUCCAGGGAUGCAGCUUUGGUGGUCACUUAGAAUUAUUGUCCAUGCUGGGGUCCAUGUUGUUUAGUGAUGUAACCACGACAAGAGUCAUUCACUCUUGGUGUGGUCUACUUAGAUUAUUCUAGUGGUCUCCUAAUUGCUGCCCUCUUUCUUGUUCCCAUACUACUUGUUUUACAUAGCAAUAGCAUUAGUCUAUUGUUUCCCAUUGGUUUAGCAAAACCACAGAAACUAGGUACUGGCAAAGAAUAUAUGUUUAUUUUUCUCAUCAUCCUGGAAGCAGGAAGUCCCAGGUUGAGUGACUCCAUCUCUGUUAUCUUAGUUGUAUUACUUGGUGGGGAGACAGAAGAGGAAUUGAGUAGACACAGUGGUAACUCCUGCAUGAAAAACAGUCUUGCUGCUUAAUAACCUAGUCCCAUGAGAACCAACUCACCCCAAGAGACAGAACUAAUCCUCUUUGAAGACAGCUUCUUCAGUAGCCCAAGAACCAUGUACUGGACCUCACCUCUUAAAGGCUGAACCAUACCUUAAGGAUCUUGCCUCCAGCAUAUGCACCUAAAGGAUUAUGAAUCAAAAACCUUUGGUAUCCAAACCCAAAUAGCAGUUAAGGGACAUUACGGAAGCACAAGUUAGAACAUGUCCUUCAGCUGCUCAGGAUGCCCAAGGGCCCCAGCUCUCUAGAUAAAAGCUCACAUCUUUUCAGGGUCCUGCAUGAUUUGGGUCCCCACUGCCAGUUUCCGGCUAACUUCUGACAUUCUUUGCCCAGAUAACACUGUCCUCAAGCAGGCAAGGCACAAGAUGCCCCAGGAUAUAUGUUUUUAGAGUUUCUUCAUCCUACUGGCCUACUCUUUCAGAUCUCUGCCAGCCCACACCCUCCCUGUUUUCUGGUCUUGGUUCAGAUGAUACCUUCCCUGUGAAUCCUUUCUAUAACCCUUGGCUUAAAAUGACAGUCUUCUUCCCUUGCUCAUAAACACUGAGCAUGCUACCUUCAGGGUUGAUUUUUCUCCACAAAGCUUACCACCUCUGCUUACUUCAUGUCCCACACUCAUUUUGUUUUGUAUCAGUAUUGUCUCACUAGAGCAUACAUGUAUGAGAAGAAGACUUUUCCUCUCUUUUAUUUAUGGCUGUACUUGCUACAACCUUAAAUAAUGCCUAGGACACAGUUGCUCUAUGAGAGUGUGAUGAAUGAACACAUCCCACUUUCUGAGAAGUCUCAAUGGAGUUUGUAGACUGGGGGCAGACAUGCCCAAGGCAAUUCUGAAACUCUUUGAAAUCCCAUUUUACAAACAUUAGCAUGGACCUCUAAGAAGGCCCACAGUUUGUGAAAAUAGGACCCUUCUAAACAGUGGGGCGAAGAGGACACUCCAGCAUCCAUUCAGAAGUGUGGAAAAGCAGCCUAGCCCACUGAAACAACUCGCAGCACUUUGGAGAGAGAAAAGCACCGCUAUUCAAGAUGAUGAGCCAAAUGGGGCCUCGCCACGGGUAAGAAGUGAGCCCACCAACCAAGAGGGAAGAGGGAGUCUGAACUUGAACCCGGCCAGGCUUCUCCCAGUUAGUGACUGAGAGUGGAAAGACUUAAGGACUCCAGGAGGCACCACACUUUCCUAAUGGCUGGCCCGGCUUUGAGAAUUCCACAGAGCUGGAUUGAACCUGGGUUCCAUGGCAAUUUCAAGUAUCCAGCCUCCCCCACUCUCCUUCCCUAAGAUUGGCAAAUAUUUAGAAGAUUGAUCUCCUCCGGCGUUGGUUCGAGGGUACGGAAGCAAGCCACUUCCUGCACAUGGAUCCCUGUAAGCUAACAUUCAAAAUCCUCUUCUGACUUCAUUUUGGAGAAGGAAAUGGCAGCUGGAUGGCGGUGUGCACAUCCUGACCCAGCCCGCCACACUUCCAGAUUGCCUGGGAUGGCAACCCUGCAGAAGGAUGGCCGAGAUGUCACAAUACCCCAGCCAACCUCUAAGAGCAGAGCAGUUACCAGCAAGAAUAUCCUGGGAAAAUGAAAAGAACUAGAAACCGCAGACAUGGUGAUCGCCAGUGUUGACGGAAGCCCGGGUUCUUUCCUUACCCUCCAAGUGGUUUUUGCUUCUGAAGUUGAACCUAAUGUUUUCUCUUUUGUAGACACAAAGUCACAUCACACGUAACUGGAAUGCUCCUCUCUUCGCCUUACGCAUGUCCUAGACAUGGCCUUACCCUUUUGUACUCCCUUUCUCCUUUGAGGAAACAUGGACAUUUAACAGAACAGCUAGGAAAACAUUACAGUCAGAACUCAGUCACACAGUUAACAUGGACAGUAACACGGUGACACCUUGGUGGACUACUCCCCCCCCCCAUAAGAUCAGUUUUCUGGUCAAGACUAUUAUUAACAUCAAAUCAGAAGGGAGAAAUAGAGACUGGAAACCAGGGAAGGUGAGCUCUGGACCCAGAACGGAAUUCUGUGCCCCUGACCUCACAGGGAUGAAGACUAAAAAUUCAUCCCCAGAAGAACCUAUGUUACCAGCAGAGAGUUGUGGCUCAUGGCAAUUCUCCCUCUGGGGGGAUGGACACAGGCUGAUUCCUUGAGCCCCCUGGCUGCACUCCCUGGGUUUAUGUCAAUGGGACACAAGCCAGGGUCAUCUAAGAACCACAAGCCUAAAAAUGCCCCCCACCAGAUUGGCCUGUGGGUUGGCUUGUGGUGCGUUUUCCUGAUUGCUAUGGGAGGACCUAGUUCAUGUAGUCAGUGCCACUCUUGGACUGGUGGUCCUGGGUGUUAUCAGAAAGCAGGCUGAGCAAGCCAUGAGGGGCAGGCCACUGAGCUGCACCCCUCCAUGGCCUCUGCUUCCAUUCUUGCUUCCAGGUUCCUGCCUUGAGUCCUGUCAUAUCCGUCUUCAGUGACUGAUUUAUAAGGUGAAAUAAACUGUAAGGUGUAAGGUGAAA